rnacentral:lncRNA from 1 species
AUGCAGCCUAUCUGCCAUCAGAAGCCUUUCAUUGCCUGCCUGCUAGCCUGUGAAUCUCACCUUCUACAUAGCAGAAAACAGCCCGAACAGGCAGGCUUGAACUACUGGGCUCAAGUGAUGUCCCUGCCUCAACCUCCUGAGUAGCUGGAGCUAUAGGUAUAUACCAUCAUGGCUGGCUGCGGCCGUCGUUUAAAACAAACUAACUCAGAACUGAUGAGAAAAUUGUGCCAUGGCAAAUAUGAUUUGCAAUCAUGUCAUUCAUUCAUUCAUCCCAUCAACCAGGGCUCACUGUGAGGCUAGACUGAGUCCUAGAGCAAUUGAGAGCUGGGCUCAUGGACCAAAAUGUGGAGACCAGCUUCGUGUCAUACUUUGAUGUUGGACCGAAUCAUGACACAGCCUCUAUAGUGUCACCCUUCUCUCAGUCAGAUAAUGGAGAACACUCACACCCAUCCUACCUGGUUUCCAUGUUGCUACUAAGGAGCAUCAAGCUAAUCUCCAAGAAUAACAAAACUGAAACUUUGUUUGAAAGAAAGUCAUAUAUAAUGAGGCGCUGUGGACACCUUGUCCAGAUCCACCUAAAGGCCCACAGAACAAGGCCCUAAGUCACAUCACAGGGGACCUUACUAGAGGCUCAUUCGAAAUCCUUGAGUGACAUCUACUUUAAAAUACUGUAAUCCACUCUGAACCAGGCACUUACUAGUUUAUCUGCACCGUGACCAUAUGCAGAUAUGACCUGACCAUAUGUCUCCGAUUUUCCCCCUUCAAUGACUACGUUUAGAUAAAUUCAGAAUUUUGAGUUUUAACUGUCCCAUUCUUAGAGCUGUUAAGACAGUAAUAGAUUAAAUAGGAUGAGCCAGGCAGCCAUACUUCUUGUACAGUUAUCCCCAGAGAUAAAUGUACAAUGUUGUUCUGGGGGCUGUGGUGGUGUCUGCAGUGUAACUAAGGUUGACAGACUGCCUGCAUGUGGGUGGCUGUCUCCUUUCCAGCUGUGACCAGCUGAAUUAUAUCACCUGUCCCAUUUGAUGUAUUAGGAUAUGCCCAAGCUCAAGAUGCAUGUUGCUGCAAUAGGGAAAUUAAUGUCCACCACUGGAGGCAAUUAAUAAUGAUUAAAAGCAAAACAGCAGGGUUAAAUCUGUGCAUUUAACGGAGUGUUCAUACACUUUUAUACUAUAUUUCAGCCUAGUUGCUCAAAGGGGAAAAAAACUCUUUUGGGGAACUAGAACAAUCUUAUCUUAAUUAACACAUAAACUUAGAUGAAAUGUCAAAGUUGCUUCAAUAAAACAUGCUUAUUCAUUAUUUACUCAGUUCUCCCUUGAUGUAGUUGGAGAGAAACAUAGCACAAAAAGUAGUAGACUAUUAGAGAGAAAUGUUAAGAUUAAGUUGUAUAGUGAGCAGAACACUCAGACUUUGGAACUGCUUCAUUCAACCUAUGAAUUGGAGAAAGAUAUUUUCACAACUUUUAUUUUACAGUUCUUUAGUUAAUGCAUUAAAAAUUAGCAACA